GUGGGGAAUAUUGGACAAUGGGCGCAAGCCUGAUCCAGCAAUGCCGCGUGGGUGAAGAAGGUCUUCGGAUCGUAAAGCCCUUUCGACAGGGACGAUGAUGACGGUACCUGUAGAAGAAGCCCCGGCUAACUUCGUGCCAGCAGCCGCGGUAAUACGAAGGGGGCUAGCGUUACUCGGAAUUACUGGGCGUAAAGGGCGCGUAGGCGGCUCUGUUAGUCAGGCGUGAAAUUCCUGGGCUUAACCUGGGGACUGCGCUUGAUACUGCAGGGCUUGCGGCCGAGAGAGGGUGGUGGAAUUCCCAGUGUAGAGGUGAAAUUCGUAGAUAUUGGGAAGAACACCGGUGGCGAAGGCGACCACCUGGCUCGGUUCUGACGCUGAGGCGCGACAGCGUGGGGAGCAAACAGGAUUAGAUACCCGUGUAGUCC
rnacentral:rRNA from 1 species